rnacentral:rRNA from 1 species
GACGUAGGGUGCAAGCGUUGUCCGGAUUUACUGGGCGUAAAGAGCGCGUAGGCGGCUCGUUAAGUGAGAAGUGAAAGCUGUGGGCUCAACCCACAAACCGCUUUUCAUACUGGCGAGCUGGAGUGAUGCAGAGGUGGAUAGAAUUCCCGGUGUAGCGGUGAAAUGCGUUGAUAUCGGGAGGAAUACCCAUGGCGAAGGCAGUCCACUGGGCAUCAACUGACGCUGAGGCGCGAAAGCGUGGGUAGCAAACAGG